GGCGCACGGGUGAGUAACGCGUGGGUAACCUACCCUGGAGUGGGGUAUAACUCGCCGAAAGGCGGGCUAAUCCCGCAUACGUCCGGCAGACCCAAGUCUGUCGGAGAAAGAUGGCCUCUGCUUGCAAGCUAUUGCUCUUGGAUGGGCCCGCGUUAGAUUAGCUAGUUGGUGAGGUAACUGCUCACCAAGGCUACGAUCUAUAGCUGGUUUGAGAGGACGACCAGCCACACUGGAACUGAGACACGGUCCAGACUCCUACGGGAGGCAGCAGUGAGGAAUAUUGCGCAAUGGGGGAAACCCUGACGCAGCGACGCCGCGUGAGUGAUGAAGGCCUUCGGGUUGUAAAGCUCUGUCAGAGGGAAAGAAAGGGGAUGCGGAAUAAUACCCGCAGCCAUUGACGGUACCCUCGGAGGAAGCACCGGCUAACUCCGUGCCAGCAGCCGCGGUAAUACGGAGGGUGCAAGUGUUAUUCGGAAUCACUGGGCGUAAAGAGCACGUAGGCGGAUGGGUAAGUCAGAUGUGAAAUCCCGGAGCUCAACUUCGGAACUGCAUUUGAUACUGCCCGUCUUGAGUGUGGUA
rnacentral:rRNA from 1 species